rnacentral:rRNA from 1 species
CCGUAUUCUAUGCCCCCCGGUGCCGGUCUUCGGGCCGGCGGGGGGCGGGGCGGCGGGGGUCUGGGGACCCUCCGCGCAGGUAGGCAAGCGUAUUAACAGGGGUGACGCGCAGUGGUGGCCCCGCGGGCCUGAUGGCUCGGCCCGUCCAAGCGCGCGGCCCGCCGCCCAGGCAAAUCCGGGCGGCUGCCUUAGAUGGCGGGGGUGAGGCGCGACGGUGACCCGGCCCGGUGGGGCCGGGGAAGCAGGGUGAUCCUGAGGCGCCUAGAAAAGCCUCGACGCGAGGGGCCGGUCCGCCCGUACCCCAAACCGACACAGGUGGUCGGGCAGAGCAUGCCCAGGCGCACGGGCGAACCGCGGUGAAGGAACUCGGCAAAACGCCCCCGUAACUUCGGGAGAAGGGGGGCCCGAACCCUGAGGCCCCGAGCGGGCUGGGGGUGAGGGUCGCAGAGGCCAGGGGGGAGCGACUGUUUACUAAAAACACAGGUCCGUGCGAAGCCGCAAGGCGAUGUAUACGGACUGACGCCUGCCCGGUGCUGGAAGGUCAAGAGGACCCGUCAGCCCCCCUCGCGGGGGCGAAGCGGUGAAUUCAAGCCCCAGUGAACGGCGGUGGUAACUAUAACCAUCCUAAGGUAGCGAAAUUCCUUGUCGGGUAAGUUCCGACCUGCACGAAUGGCGUAACGACUCCCCCGCUGUCUCCACCGCGGGCCCGGCGAAAUUGCAUUACGAGUAAAGAUGCUCGUUACGCGCAGAAGGACGGAAAGACCCCGGGACCUUCACUGCAGCUUGGUAUUGGCGCCCGGUUCGGCUCGUGCAGGAUAGGUGGGAGACCGUGAUGUCGUCGCGUCAGCGGCGGCGGAGUCGUCGUUGAGAUACCACUCCGGCCGUGUCGUGCGCCUGAACCUCGGCCCGUGAUCCGGGUCAGGGACAGUGCCUGGCGGGUAGUUCAACUGGGGCGGUUGCCUCCCAAAGAGUAACGGAGGCGCUCAAAGGUCCCCUCAGCCUGGUCGGCAACCAGGUGUCGAGUGCAAGUGCACAAGGGGGCUCGACUGCGAGACCGACGGGUCGGGCAGGUGCGAAAGCAGGAACUAGUGAUCCGGCGAUCCCGCGUGGGCGGGUCGUCGCUCAACGGAUAAAAGGUACCCCGGGGAUA